UACGUAGGGGGCAAGCGUUGUCCGGAUUUAUUGGGCGUAAAGCGCGCGCAGGCGGUCUUCCAAGUCAGUGGUGAAAGCCCGGAGCUCAACUCCGGAACUGCCAUUGAAACUGUUUGGCUGGAGUAUGAGAGAGGUGAGUGGAAUUCCCAGUGUAGAGGUGAAAUUCGUAGAUAUUGGGAAGAACACCGGUGGCGAAGGCGGCUCACUGGCUCAUUACUGACGCUCAGGCGCGACAGCGUGGGGAUCAAACAGG
rnacentral:rRNA from 1 species